CCUGUGAGGCAGAGAGGCCUCCGUUGGACACCAGAGAGAGGCCACUGGAUGGCAGAAGGAUGCUGGCAGGACCUCCCUACCCACCUUUUCAUGGGGGCAGAAGGGAAGCAGUGGCUGUGGAACCAGAUCAGGGUCCAGUGUGCUUUGAAGAUGUCGCUGUUUGUUUCACG